GUGUCAGCCGCCGCGGUAAGACGAACCGUGCAAACGUUGUUCGGAAUCACUGGGCUUAAAGGGCGCGUAGGCGGCUUCCCAAGUCCGGGGUGAAAUCUUUCGGCUUAACCGGAAAAGUGCCUUGGAUACUGGGAGGCUCGAGGGGGGUAGGGGCAAGCGGAACUUCCGGUGGAGCGGUGAAAUGCGUUGAUAUCGGAAGGAACGCCGGCGGCGAAAGCGGCUUGCUGGACCCCAUCUGACGCUGAUGCGCGAAAGCCAGGGGAGCGAACGGGAUUAGAUACCCCGGUAGUCC
rnacentral:rRNA from 1 species